UGGUUGUCGUCAGCUCGUGUCGUGAGAUGUUGGGUUAAGUCCCGCAACGAGCGCAACCCUUGAUCUUAGUUGCCAGCAUUCAGUUGGGCACUCUAAGGUGACUGCCGGUGACAAACCGGAGGAAGGUGGGGAUGACGUCAAAUCAUCAUGCCCCUUAUGACCUGGGCUACACACGUGCUACAAUGGAUGGUACAAAGGGCUGCGAGACCGCGAGGUUUAGCCAAUCCCAUAAAACCAUUCUCAGUUCGGAUUGCAGGCUGCAACUCGCCUGCAUGAAGCUGGAAUCGCUAGUAAUCGCGGAUCAA
rnacentral:rRNA from 2 species